UACGAAGGGGGCGAGCGUUGUUCGGAAUUACUGGGCGUAAAGGGCGCGUAGGCGGCCGCUCAAGUCCGAUGUGAAAGUCCUGGGCUUAACCUGGGGACUGCAUUUGAUACUGAUUGGCUUGAAUUCGGGAGAGGAUAGCGGAAUUCCCAGUGUAGAGGUGAAAUUCGUAGAUAUUGGGAAGAACACCGGUGGCGAAGGCGGCUAUCUGGACCGACAUUGACGCUGAGGCGCGAAAGCGUGGGGAGCAAACAGG
rnacentral:rRNA from 1 species